AUUGAACGCUGGCGGCAUGCCUUACACAUGCAAGUCGAACGGCAGCACGGGGCAACCUGGUGGCGAGUAGCGAACGGGUGAGUAAUGCAUCGGAACGUACCUUUCAGUGGGGGAUAACGUAGCGAAAGUUACGCUAAUACCGCAUAUUCUGUGAGCAGGAAAGCAGGGGAUCGCAAGACCUUGCGCUGAUUGAGCGGCCGAUGUCAGAUUAGCUAGUGGGUGAGGUAAAGGCUCACCAAGGCGACGAUCUGUAGCGGGUCUGGGAGGAUGAUCCGCCACACUGGGACUAAGACACGGUCCAGACUCCUACGGGAGGCAGCAGUAGGGAAUUUUGGACAAUGGGGGCAACCCAGAUCCAGCCAUGACGCGUGAGUGAAGAAGGCCUUCGGGUUGUAAAGCUCUUUCGGCCGGGAAGAAAUCGCACGGGCUAAUACCCUGUGUGGAUGACGGUACCGGAAUAAGAAGCACCGGCUAACUACGUGCCAGCCGCCGCCGUAAUAC
rnacentral:rRNA from 1 species